AUGUAGCUUAACUUAAAAGCAAGGCGCUGAAAAUGCCUAGAUGGGCUCACGGCCCCAUAAACA
rnacentral:tRNA from 1 species